GGUGGAGCAUGUGGUUUAAUUCGAUGCAACGCGAAGAACCUUACCUACUCUUGACAUCCAGAGAAUUCGCUAGAGAUAGCUUAGUGCCUUCGGGAACUCUGAGACAGGUGCUGCAUGGCUGUCGUCAGCUCGUGUUGUGAAAUGUUGGGUUAAGUCCCGCAACGAGCGCAACCCUUAUCCUUUGUUGCCAGCACGUAAUGGUGGGAACUCAAAGGAGACUGCCGGUGAUAAACCGGAGGAAGGUGGGGAUGACGUCAAGUCAUCAUGGCCCUUACGAGUAGGGCUACACACGUGCUACAAUGGCGUAUACAAAGAGAAGCGAACUCGCGAGAGCAAGCGGACCUCAUAAAGUACGUCGUAGUCCGGAUCGGAGUCUGCAACUCGACUCCGUGAAGUCGGAAUCGCUAGUAAUCGUAGAUCA
rnacentral:rRNA from 1 species